rnacentral:rRNA from 1 species
UACAGAGGGUGCAAGCGUUAUUCGGAUUUAUUGGGCGUAAAGCGCACGUAGGUGGUUUGUUAAGUCUGAUGUGAAGGCCCGGGACUCAAUCUCGGAAGUGCAUCGGAUACUGGCGAACUAGAGUAUGGGAGAGGUGAGCGGAAUUCCGGGUGUAGAGGUGAAAUUCGUAGAUAUCCGGAGGAACAACAGAGGCGAAGGCGGCUCACUGGACCAUAACUGACACUGAGGUGCGAAAGCGUGGGUAGCAAACAGG